UACGUAGGGGGCUAGCGUUGUUCGGAAUUACUGGGCGUAAAGCGCACGUAGGCGGCUUUGUAAGUCAGAGGUGAAAGCCCGGGGCUCAACUCCGGAAUUGCCUUUAAGACUGCAUCGCUAGAAUUGUGGAGAGGUAAGUGGAAUUCCGAGUGUAGAGGUGAAAUUCGUAGAUAUUCGGAAGAACACCAGUGGCGAAGGCGACUUACUGGACACAUAUUGACGCUGAGGUGCGAAAGCGUGGGGAGCAAACAGG
rnacentral:rRNA from 1 species